CCUACGGGAGGCUGCAGUGAGGAAUAUUGGUCAAUGGGCGGAAGCCUGAACCAGCCAAGUCGCGUGCAGGAUGACGGCCCUACGGGUUGUAAACUGCUUUUAUACGGGAAUAACGCGCCUUACGUGUAGGGCUUUUCAUGUACCGUAUGAAUAAGGACCGGCUAAUUCCAUUCCAGCAGCCGCGGUAAUAUGGAAGGUCCGGUCGUUAUCCGGAUUUGAUGGGUUUGAAGGGAACGUAGGCCGCAUGUCAAGCGUGCUGUGAAAUGUCCGGGCUCAACCCGGCCCUUGCAGCGGAAACUGGCGUGCUUGAGUCCGCGGAAGGCAGGCGGAAUUCGAGGUGUAGCGGUGAAAUGCUUAGAUAUGACGAAGAACCCCGAUGGCGAAGGCAGCUUGCUGCAGCGGAACUGACGCUGAUGCUCGAAAGCGCGGGUAUCGAACAGGAUUAGAUACCCUUGUAGUC
rnacentral:rRNA from 1 species